rnacentral:rRNA from 1 species
UGCAGUCGAGCGGCAGCACGGGAAGCUUGCUUCCUGGUGGCGAGCGGCGGACGGGUGAGUAAUGCAUAGGAAUCUGCCCGAUAGUGGGGGAUAACCUGGGGAAACCCAGGCUAAUACCGCAUACGUCCUACGGGAGAAAGCAGGGGCUCUUCGGACCUUGCGCUAUCGGAUGAGCCUAUGUCGGAUUAGCUAGUUGGUGAGGUAAUGGCUCACCAAGGCGACGAUCCGUAGCUGGUCUGAGAGGAUGAUCAGCCACAUCGGGACUGAGACACGGCCCGAACUCCUACGGGAGGCAGCAGUGGGGAAUAUUGGACAAUGGGCGCAAGCCUGAUCCAGCCAUGCCGCGUGUGUGAAGAAGGCCUUCGGGUUGUAAAGCACUUUCAGUGAGGAAGAACGCCUUGUGCCUAAUACGUGCAAGGGAAGACAUCACUCACAGAAGAAGCACCGGCUAACUCCGUGCCAGCAGCCGCGGUAAUACGGAGGGUGCGAGCGUUAAUCGGAAUUACUGGGCGUAAAGCGCGCGUAGGUGGCUUGAUAAGCCGGUUGUGAAAGCCCCGGGCUCAACCUGGGAACGGCAUCCGGAACUGUCAGGCUAGAGUGCAGGAGAGGAAGGUAGAAUUCCCGGUGUAGCGGUGAAAUGCGUAGAGAUCGGGAGGAAUACCAGUGGCGAAGGCGGCCUUCUGGACUGACACUGACACUGAGGUGCGAAAGCGUGGGUAGCAAACAGGAUUAGAUACCCUGGUAGUCCACGCCGUAAACGAUGUCGACUAGCCGUUGGGAGCCUCGAGUUCUUAGUGGCGCAGUUAACGCGAUAAGUCGACCGCCUGGGGAGUACGGCCGCAAGGUUAAAACUCAAAUGAAUUGACGGGGGCCCGCACAAGCGGUGGAGCAUGUGGUUUAAUUCGAUGCAACGCGAAGAACCUUACCUACCCUUGACAUCGUGCGAACUUUCCAGAGA